CGUGAGCCGGGGCGGGAGCAGAGCGGGUGUGACGGGGCGCCCGCCCUGCGCGGGGCGCGGCGCGGUGGUGCUGAACGGACAGCUCCGCGUGCCUCGGCCGCCGCCCGGGCUCGGAAGGCGCAGCCGCCGCCGCCGCUGCUUCUCUGCGCUUCCCCGGCGCGUCACCGCGACCACCUUGCGCCCCCGGCUCGGCGCGGGGCCGACACCUCUCCCUUCCCCCCGACCAUCCCCCGGUGACAGCUGUUAUUAUCACCACCCCCAGGGCGCAGGCAGGGGGCUGCCUACGGUGACCUUUCCCCGCUGGGUCUGGCGGGAGCUGGGCUGGGAAAUAAAGGGCGGCUUGCGCGUGUCCGGGGACAGGGCGGGACCGGAGGAACUCCAGGUGUCCCCUUUUAGGGACCUGAAGAAAAGUUUCCCGAAGCCCGGGGGUGGGGUUGUUGGGGAACAGGAGCUGGAGGGGAAAAGAGGGGGCCGGGAAGUCCAAGGUGGAGAUCGGCUUAGUACGCGGGGGGCGGGAGCGCAGGCCGCACGGCGGGGGCGGGAGUCGCUGAGUUCUGGUCGGGAGCUCUGUGUGGGCACAGUUUGUGUCCAGGCCGGUGUGGUGUGCUGGCUGUGCGGGACUGCAGGGCGCUGUGUGUGUAUGUAGGCUGAGGACAGCAGGACUUUUCAGUGUCUGUGUGUACCGCGUUCAUUAAAAUGGGUCCUCUGUCGGAUGGGAAGAUGCGUCGGCACAGGGGGGACCUGGGACGUGUGUCAGCGCAGUGUGUGGCAUGGGGAACCGUGUGCUGUGUGUACAUGUGCUGUGUACAGUGUAGUACUCUUGGGACUGUGACGGGCUCAUGUGUGUGGAAUAUGUUGAGAGCGGUGUGCUUGCCGA
rnacentral:lncRNA from 1 species